UACGUAGGUGGCAAGCGUUAUCCGGAAUUAUUGGGCGUAAAGCGCGCGCAGGCGGUUUCUUAAGUCUGAUGUGAAAGCCCACGGCUCAACCGUGGAGGGUCAUUGGAAACUGGGGAACUUGAGUGCAGAAGAGAAAAGCGGAAUUCCACGUGUAGCGGUGAAAUGCGUAGAGAUGUGGAGGAACACCAGUGGCGAAGGCGACUCUUUGGUCUGUAACUGACGCUGAGGCGCGAAAGCGUGGGGAGCAAACAGG
rnacentral:rRNA from 1 species